rnacentral:sRNA from 1 species
UUUUACAUUCAAAUCGACUGUGAUGGGGUCAGUCACAAUUACGGAACAGGACUUUUUUAAGACGUCAGAAUUGCGGAACACGGAUAAUGGUAGGUGCUUUCGAGGGCUAUGAAGGUACUGCAUGUAAGCAUUGGAGGAAGAAGAAUUACAAACUUAAUUUGCGCUUCGCGGAGGACAUUGAUGGCUUUGCAGGGACAGAAGAAGAACUAGCUGACUUGGUACAUGAUGCGCAAAAAAUGCAAACGACAAUCCCCCAAAUUUCACGAGCACAGGGCCCUGCGGUUGUGGGAGGGAAAUUAAACAUACACAACGGUCUCCACCAUGAUCUAAGGAAAAUUUAAGUUGUAUCAAGAUUAGUCAAACGGUUUUGAUUUGUAUUCGAGACAUACAUACAUACAUACGCCUUACUUUGUGCUAUAAUUAUAGAUAAACAUUUAUGUUUUUUUCUUUAAUAAAAUGUCAUGCUAUAUGUGGAAAUAUUAGUAAAAUGAUUGCAUUUUAGUUAAAGUUUUCCAAAGCGGGGUCUCUACUUAGCUAGAUUUGGCUUAUCUUUAGUGUGAUUGUAUCAAUUAGUUUGGAUCCAUCAUGUAAUUAAACUUGUAAUAGAUCUAGAGUAACAAUAAUAAAUCUGUGAAGUUAGAAAUAUUUGUACCAAUUAUCUUUGUUUAGCGCAAUUUCAUGUUUUUAGCUUUUUCUAUGCACUAUGAUCCUUUCAUUUGUCUGGAACAGUUGGGAAGGGGUGGUGCGGUAUCUGGGUGAAUUUUACCAUGAUUGCUUUUAAAUUCAUGAAAAAAAAGUUGUAUGACUUGUAUGAACUCAGGGCUGAAGCCUCCUCGAGGGGACUAAUUCAACUUAUGCUACCACAUCUGUCAAAUACAAUUUCUAUCCUUUGGUUGAAACAAA